rnacentral:lncRNA from 1 species
UUUGAAACUUAGAUGGAACUAUUGGGACUAGAAGCUAUCUUUACAGACAUGGGCCCAUGGCUGCCUGCAGACAAUUUGGUACCUCAUGAGGACAACCUGUCCCAGGGUGAGGCCAAUACAGAGGAGAUCCAAACUGGGAUAUGAUCAAGGAGCAUUUGAGUGGCUGGAGCUAGCCAUGUCUGAAGCUGACAUAACUUGGGAAGGAUCUUUAACAAGCCCUCCCCAGACCGGAAGGAGAGCACACAUCACAGGACGACGGCCUGGAUCCCUGGUAGAUUUGCAGCUCCUGGUUCUAGAUGUUGCUGAGACCUGGCCCUGAAACUACUUGCCUGGGGGUCUCAGAUCUGUGUCCUCAUAAUGCAUCUUCCCUUUUCUGCUGUACAGCAGCUUAAGUGGUUUUGUUUCUUGCAACCAAAGCGGUCUUGAUUAAAAGAGUCUGAAACUAUGGCAUUUUGCAACAUGGACCUACUGAAUAAGCCUCCAAUCUGGAUUUUCUCUAAGCCCUAGAACUAUAUAUCUAACUGCCUGGUGGACUUCUCCACUUGGGGUACUAUAGGCCCCUAAACUCAAUAGCCAUUUUACUGUAAAUGUCCAAACAUUAGAGAGAGUGCUAAAGACCCCCUGAACCACAUCCCAUCCCCAGUCCCCUCCUUGGAGGGGAGCCCCAUUAUUGAUUGGUUUGCAUGAGGCCAGAUCUUUUUAAAGGCAUGUGCAUGUGAACACACGCAUAUAGAUAUGUAGAUGCAUGUUUGUCUGUUUUGUUUACUUAAAUGACUUUAUAGUCAAUAUAUCAUUUGACAACUCACUCUUUUCCUAUUCAAGUAAAUAUCAGCCUUUUAAACUGCUGCAUAUUAUUUUACAAGCUGGAUAUACCGUAAUUAAUUUAAUUAUUCCCUAUCACAGGACAUUUAGGCUGUAUUCUACUUUUAUUUUUUUCAGUCACAGAGAGCACUGCAGGGGACUUCCUUGUAAAGACCCUUUGGGACACAUGCCAGGGCUUUUUGGGGACAGGCAUAGAUAGCUGGACUUGCAGCUCCCAAGAAAUGGAUUCACUUCUGCCCUCCUCACCCACUAUCCAGCCCGAGGAACCCAGGGGUCUUUCUUUUCCCUUUCAGCCAAUCACCAGUGCUGGCUGGUGAUCUCACCUUGCCUUCCGAAUUCACAGCUUCUCAUCCGUUUCACUGGGCCCGCUCGCCUUCAGACCCACCUACCCCCUGCCUCAACCAUCACCAUGGCGGUUUCUCACUGGCCAACCCCCAAGUUCAGCCCUGGCCCUGGCUAAUCUGCUUCUACUCUUUGAUAGAGGAACUUACUGAAAAUGUAAACUUGAUGGGGUGGUCCACCGCCUAACCACAGGCUCCUCAGCAUCCCAAGAAAAGGCCCAAAUUCCUCACUGUGGCAUGCAAGGCACUUUGUUGUCUUGGACUGUUUUGUGCUGCUGUAACAGAAACCUGAAAUUGGGUAAUUUAUAAUUAACAUAAAUGUAUUGGUUCAUAAUUCUGAAGGCUGGGAAGUUCAAGAUCAAGGGGCUGGCAACUGGUAAGGGCCUUCUUGUUGUGUUAUCCCAUGGCAGAAGGGCAAAGAAAGAGCAAGAGAUCAAACUUGCAGCCUCAAACCAUUUUAUAACCAGCAUUAAUCCAUUCAUGAGCGUGGAGCCCGCAUGAUCUAAACACCUCCCACUGGGCCCUGCCUCUCAACACUGUUGCUUUGGGGAUUAAGUUUCCAACACAUGCAUUUUGGGGUGACCCAAGCCUGGCAGUGGUCCAAGCCUAGCUUCCCAGGCCAGAUCAUUUCUCUGUCACUUCUGCUGUAACCCUCUAAAAACAGAGAACUGGCUGUAGUCCUCCACUCACCCCCACUCUGCUAUUUCUUGACUCGACUUUUGCUCAUGCAGUGAUUUCUUACACCACUAGACUCAGUUCAGGUGUGACCUCACCCAGAGAGCCAUCUCCAAAGCAGAAUCAGGUGCCUCUCUCAGGUCCUCUUGAAGCACACUCUGGCCCCUUUCGCAUGGCACUUCUCACCCGUAUGUUAAUUAUUCAUAUAUGCAUGUAUCUGUUCUCCCACCAGACUGUGAGCUCCAUAUGGAUGAGCACUUGAUUUCUCCCACCACAGUGUCUGCAGAACACAGAGACAGCUCUGUCUCUCUCUUGAUCCAUGUGUUUUGGGAGAUCUGGCCCCACUUCCUAUCUCCAUGAAAUUUCAGUGUUACCCUGGGUUUUUUUUUGUUUUUUUUUUUGAGACAGAGUCUCUCUCUGUUGCCCAGGCUGGAGUGCAAUGAUGCGAGCUCAGCUCACUGCAACCUCCACCUCCUGGGUUCAAGCGAUUCUCCUGCUUCAGCCUCCCCAAUAGCUGGGAUUACAGGUGUGUGCCACCAUGCCCAGCUAAUUUUUGUAUUUUUAGUAGAGAUGGGGUUUUACCAUGUUGGCCAAGCUGGUCUUGAACUCCUGACCUCAAGUAAUCCGCCUCGGCCUCCCAAAGUGCUGGGAUUACAGGUGUGAGCCAUUGCGCCCUGCCUCAUCCUGGCUUUUAAGUCAGUCAGUAGGAAUGGUCAUUAGGUCUGGGACGUUUUGUUCAAACUCUUGGGAAAGAAAGGCUGUCUUCUCAGCUUGACUUGGCAUUGUGAGACUAUGAAGCUAACGAGACUGCUGCCACCUCACCAUCUUCAGGAGUUGGCCCAUGUAAGAAUGGGAGCCAAGAAAAGAAAAGAAUAAAUACUGAGUUCUGACGACACCAUCUGAGCUCCACAAAACGGGCAUCUCUCCUCCAUUGGACUUCCCUUUUGUAUGCAUCCAAUGGAAGGGAGAAAACUCAUCUUCUCUUCGCAACUGGAGUUUUCUCAUCAUCUAG